rnacentral:tRNA from 1 species
GUUCUGGUAGCUCAGCUGGUUAGAGCAAAGGACUGCAAAUCCUUUUUGCUUGUUUCAGUGGGAAGAGCAAGGGGCAUUGCCCUUGAAAUCCUUCAGUGGUUCGAUUCCACCUCAGAACG